UUAGCGCAUGAGCAUUGACAUUGCCCAAGCACAUUCCAAAAUGCUGUUCCAAAAAUCACAAAUCAAUGAUGUGUAACUCGUUGUAAAUUUCGCUUUAUUUAACGGCUUUGAUAUUUCUUUUCUCAAAACCAUAAAUGUAACGUCCGUUUAUUUAAGGAACAUGUAUAUCAUUAAGAAAUAUAUGUUCAAAGAAAUAUAUUUUUGAAACGAAAAGUUGGAGAAAAAAAUUGGAAGCAGGGUGAUUCGUACUCCAUGGACCGGUUGGAUUAUCUCGGUUAACCCUGUUCCAUGACUAUGGAUGACAGGGUUGAGUGGCGUGAAAUGGUAUGGAUGAGUAUGCGCGCGACCGCGACCGUUAGAAAAUUGCGCCAUUUUUUUUAGUUCUAACCAAGAUUAUUUUUCAAAGCGUUGAAGUGUUACGCGAACUGUUUAUAACGUCGUGAAAGGUGGCACGCGUGGACACCGAUGGUGUUGUGAAUUUUACGUUCAGCAAGAACGCUUGGCAAAAUUUUGAUCACGCUUCAGGAGAGUGCUUAGCGGGGAGGAUAGUCCACGAGGGAACGUUUUUACCGGGUUCUUUCCAGAGAAGAAUUUUUUUUCUUCUGUAAACAAAAUGUCGGUGGACACACUGAGUGAUUCAGAGUUACGCAGUAAACUGAUGGAAUAUGGGUUUCCGGUGGGCCCUGUAACACAAACCACUAGAAAAAUUCUUGUGAAAAAAUUAAAAAGUCUUAUUGAAGCGCGCGGAGGUUCAGGUUCGCGGCAUUCAUUAGCUGCCAGAUAUAGCAGUGAGGAUACAGAUGAUGACUCAAGUUCAACAGCCGCAAAAAAGAAAAAAGCAACUGUUAAUGCCAGACGACAAACUUUGGCAAAUCCAAUGCCUCCACCAUCAGCAAUACCAUCUCCAGAUACAAACAUAUCAAAAAGUUCAGUCAAAGAAAAAGCAAUACAUCCAGAAUUUAAGGAUCCCAUAGCACCUGAUUGCGAUAAUUCAUCUAUCUUCACUACACAUGUAGUAUCAAAAACUACACAAAAAAAAUAUGUAAAGACUAAAAAGACAUCGGGUAUUACAGAUGGUUUAGAAACAGGUUCAGAUUCAGAUGUUGUAGAAGAAGUAAGCAGGAGAUAUUCUCCAUUUGAAUAUUUACCCAAUUUCUGUAAAUCCCCUGACUCUAGAACAUACGAACACAGCACAUUUGAUCAAGAACCAGCUACAAAAUCAUAUGAUUCAAAAGCAAGAUCUGUACAUACUAUAAAAGAUAAUACAUAUAAUGAAUCAGUUUUUGUUCCAAGUAUAUCUCCGAUGCAAUCUUCAAAGGAAGAUGUUUGCACAAGGGACAGCUCAAAUCAAAGAGAUCUUUUGGCAAAUUAUGAAACUCCAUAUUUAUCUGAAUUUACCAGAAGACUCAGUUCACGCUCAUCUAUAUAUCUACCAUCCUCUACUUUGUCCAGUUCAAAAAAUCCAACUUCGCGCCAUACAUCUAAUGUACCAGAGUUGAAAGAAAAAGAUUCGAAUGGUCAUUUUUCUUCUUCAAGAUCACUGUAUUCGACUACAAGUCCAAGGCAUACAACAACAUCUAUUGAUAGACCUCGAGAAACAAUGGGUAGAACAUUUAAGCCAUCGAUCAUAGGCAGGGAAGACAUACGCAACAAUCAGAACAUGGUGUCUGUAAUCUUGGUUGUGGUACUUGGUUUAUUUUUUGGAAUACUUGCAGUUAUAUACAUGGGACUCGGUGGAAAAUCAGAAACUUUUCCCUCGCUUGCAACGGACAGCAACAUACCACUAUGCUUUGUUGGAGCUGACCUUGAAGCGCCUGGAGUUAAUUGUGUAAUGAAAGAAAAUGUAGAUUCUGUACUGCAACUAUUAAAGCGACUUCAACCAAUUUUAACAAAAAAGGCUGUAUCCAUGAUAUGCGACAAUUCCAGUGAAACUCCUUACCUGACCGAUUCAGAAAUCAUGCAAAUGUUUACAAGUAAUAAAGUGAAAAGUUUGGAGGUGAAAGAGGAUUUACAGAAUGCACAAUUGCUUGUUAUAAAGAACCCUAAGUGGGGUAUUUCUUUAAUAGACAUAAGUGAUGAUAACGGAGUUCCCGGUGAAGUUUUGGAUUCCUUGGAGAAAUUAUUUUCUACCCGUUUAAACGGGAAAGUUGGAAUGGUGAUCACAAAUCCGGAAUUACCAAUGCAGUGUCUUAUUAAAAACAAGCUGUUCACCAUAUUCUCCUCUCUUCUAAUUGUAUCACUUGGCCUCCUAGCAGCUAUAGGACUGCAGAAAUUAUUCGUUUGGUAUAUCAAGUACAAGAAGAGUACUGAAAGGGAAGUGUUCAAACUUGUUAGUGAAAUUAUUAACAUGGUUGAAAUGCAUCAUCAAAAUGCUGGAGUAGCAUCGCCUGGUGGUACACAAGAAAGCUUUCUUGCUAUCAGUCAUGUACGUGAUAAUCUUAUACCUCCUAAAGACCGUAAAAGGAUGGCAAGCUUAUGGGAGAAGGCAGUUAAAUUUUUGGAUGAGAAUGAAUCCAGAAUCCGAAGGGAAGUGCAACAAGUUGCGGGGGAAGAGUUUCAUGUAUGGCGCUGGUUGCCUAAUAACAAUCUUAACAAAUCGAAUACACAAAAUUUCGUUCCAAAUAAAAAAUCUAAAGUGUGGCAAGGUCAAGCGUUUGAAACAAUGGAAGGAUCAGUUAAUAGUUUAACAUGUUCACCAACACCGUGUUUGAAAAUAAGACACAUGUUUGAUGUAGAUGUAGAAUUCGAGGAUGAUUGGGAAACAAAAGUACAGGAUGCUGUUUUAGAGAAAUGCGGAGAAGGUGUAAAAAUACUCCAUAUUCGUGUAGAUCGUGGGAGUCGAGAAGGUUGUGUUUACAUGAAAUGUAUGUCACAAGAAGAUGCGGGGAAAGCUUACAGGGCUUUACAUGGAUGUUGGUUCGAUGGUCAUUUAGUAACUGUAAAGUACCUGAGAUUGGAAAGAUACUAUGAAAGAUUUCCAGAUGCACGUCAUUGUACAAUACCUUUGAAGCCAAGUAACAAUCAGCGAUUAUCUAUGCAGGCGGAUUAUUAGAGCCGCCAAUUUUGGAUGUAAACUUACAAAAUACCUCUUUGCUUGUGCAUACAUGUUAACAAGCAAAAUUUGAAUCUUUCGCCGCUGGAAUAAUUGUUUGCGGACCAGAAUUCGCGAGAUACUUCUAUUUUUUGCUCUAGAAGAGAAUAGAACUUCAUACUUAUGGCGCAGAAAUACAGAAUCCUAGAGACUUGUAAUUGUGUGAUAAUGUUCUAAGAAUUUGAAGAGAUAAUAGGACAUGUAUACCUACAUUAUUUUAUAAUCAAGAAAAGACUUAAUUUAUUUUGUUUGAAAGACUACAUUUUUCUUUUAAUUAGUAAUCGUUACAUUAAUACUUCAUAAACUGCACAAAUUGUAUUAGUAGGAAACAAAUAAAUUAAUACAAGGUGUUUUAAGAUAAAUAGUAUAACCAGAUACGAGAUUAUUCUAUAGAUACAAGUAACUGAAAAACGAAAUUUCAAAAAAAAUUAAUUUGAAAAUUUAUCAGGUACAUACACAUGAGUAUCAUUGAGUUUGUGUGCUUUUCCAUUACUGAUAAUUUUUGUUUCUGUAGUAUCAUCUGUAAAUAUUAACAGCAAUAUAAUUAGUACUUGUUUUUAAAUAAUAAAAUAGAUAAUGUCAUACUGUCAGUGUUUUAAGAAUAUAAAUAAUGAGUAAUGGUCAGACACAUUAACCCUCUAUCUCGAUUAAAAGAGUAAUUGUAGGAUAAAUUCGAAUUAUCAGUCUUUGCCCUAUUUUCCCAAUUUAAUGGUACGUAAAAAUUCUGAAAAAAUUCUGAGAUAUUCUGCCACAACAAUGUAUGACAGAGAAUUUUUGAGAAUUUUUUCGUUCCAAAUCCUUAGCGUGAAAAAUGAAAAUCUCAAGAAGAUAGAAAAAUCUAGAUUUCGAUUGAAGCUUUUGAGUUACAACUUUUUCAUUUUUGCAAUAGUAACAUAGUAUGAUAGUCAUUUACAAUUUUUUCGCCUACUAUGCCAUUGUUAAAAAGGUAGAGAACUAAUAUUUGACAUAUCUCAGGCAAAAACAUAAUUAAUAUCUUUAAUUGUAGUUUGCUUUGUGUAGUGCCUACAUUACGUGACUUUUAAUGUUUCUGCAUGUACGUGCUGUAGAAUACAACUUUAUUUAUAAUUUUUCUUUUUUCAAUUAUCAAUUACAUGACAAUAAACGAUAUUCACUUCUAAAGGGCUUUACAAUAUUUGUAAGGUAUAAGAAAGAAGUAAAAGGAGAUUAAUAGUAAAAAGUAAAGAAUAUAAAAAAGAGAAGUUAUAUCCUGCGGGGUGCGAACCUACGACAAACAAAAAUUUCCCUCCGUUCCACACUAGCUAACCUAAACGCUUCGCCAACCAUAUUAUUGAAUACAGUGGUGAAACUUUAGUAGAUACGGCAUAUUCAUUUUCAAUUAAUUGCAAUAACAGGAUUUUUUAUAAUUUUUACGUACCAUUAAACAGGGAAAAUAGAACAAAAACUGAUAAUUUAAAUUUACUCUAUAACUACUCUUCUGGUUGAGAUAGAGAGUUGAAAAUUAAUGUAAAAUAUUUUCUAUAGGUAAACUAUCGAACAUAACUUUCAUGAGUAAAAUCAGGAUACUUUUCACAUCUUUAUCCUGCUAUAACCUUCGUAAAAAGUAAAACAUAAAGAAACGUUUUACUUUAUUCUAAAGAUAUACUUAACUAUCAUACUGAAACACACUGUAUAUGUCAAUUUAAUAUUGACGGCAUCUAAAAACAAACAAAAUUAUUAUUUGUUUCAAAUGAAGCUUACAUAAAAUCAAGAAAAUUGGACCUUGCAAUUCCAUGAUGCACAACAUUGUUAAAAACAAUAGAAUUGCAAAGAUUUAAUUUUUGAUAGCUAUAUAAUAUUUAUUUAAUGACAUUUCCUUUGAUUCAAUCAAGGAACAAAAUUAAUUUUACAUAAUUUAAUACCUAUACAUAUAUUGUGUAAUUAUAUUACUAUUAUCUUCUAGUUGUAUAUAAUGGUUACAUAAAUGUCAUUUGAAAAUAAUCCAACACAUUUUAACUUUUUAUAUGUUACAGAAAAGGAGAAAGUUUUUAAUAAAUACAAUGUUCUAUAAUAUAUGUACAUCACUCUUUAUAUUCAUAUAUUUACAUGUUAUUUUGAAAUAUGACAAUAUUUGUUAUUGUAAGUAUAGUUUGUUUGUAUCAGAAAGAUCCAUAGAAGCAUAUGUAGAGACAUAUUUUUUUCAUUACAAAUACAAGAGAUGUAUAUGUUUCUUACACAAAAUUUCAUUUCAUCGGUUACUUUGAGAAGCAACUUUCAUUGAAUAUUCUUAUUGAUCAAAAUUUUUAUUCAAGUUCUUCUAAUAAUUUAUGAGCUUUAAGAACCUUUUUUAAUUUCAUAAGUCUAUAAUUCAUAAGUUGCACU